rnacentral:rRNA from 1 species
CGGAGGAUCCAAGCGUUAUCCGGAUUUAUCGGGUUUAAAGGGUGCGUAGGCGGAAUGAUAAGUCAGUGGUGAAAGCCUGCAGCUUAACUGUAGAAUUGCCGUUGAUACUGUUGUUCUUGAGUAUAUUUGAUGUGGGCGGAAUGUGUCAUGUAGCGGUGAAAUGCUUAGAUAUGACACAGAACACCGAUUGCGAAGGCAGCUCACAAAACUAUAACUGACGCUGAGGCACGAAAGCGUGGGGAUCAAACAGGAUUAGAUACCCUGGUAGUCCACGCUGUAAACUAUGAUUACUCGAUGUUUGCGAUACACUGUAAGCGUCUAAGCGAAAGCGUUAAGUAAUCCACCUGGGGAGUACGCUCGCAAGAGUG